ACACGGGAAGGAGGUGGUCCAGGAACAUGAAGUCUUUCCGGACGCGUGAGGUGGCUGCCCGCUAGGCGGUGCAACCCAGGACGGUGAGCCGUCGCUGGGCCAUCCGGCCGAGCGAAUGUCAGGCAGUCACCGGAACCCGCGGGAGUCGUGCACUCGUCCAGCACGACGGUCGAUCAUCGAUCGGCGGCCCGCGGGUUCUUUCCUG
rnacentral:sRNA from 1 species